rnacentral:rRNA from 1 species
UGCUCCAGAAUAGCUCUUGGAAACGGGUGGUAAUGCUGGAUGCUCCAACUUGACGCAUGUCUUGUUGGGAAAGUGUUUAGUGGCAUGGGAUGGGGUCGCGUCCUAUCAGCUUGUAGGCGGGGUAAUGGCCCACCUAGGCUUCGACGGGUAGCCGGCCUGAGAGGGCGGACGGCCACAUUGGGACUGAGAUACGGCCCAGACUCCUACGGGAGGCAGCAGGU